rnacentral:rRNA from 1 species
UACGGAGGAUGCGAGCGUUAUCCGGAUUUAUUGGGUUUAAAGGGUGCGUAGGUGGGUUAUCAAGUCAGCGGUAAAAUCGUGGAGCUCAACUCCAUCCAGCCGUUGAAACUGAUGAUCUUGAGUGGGCGAGAAGUAUGCGGAAUGCGUGGUGUAGCGGUGAAAUGCAUAGAUAUCACGCAGAACUCCGAUUGCGAAGGCAGCAUACCGGCGCCCGACUGACGCUGAAGCACGAAAGCGUGGGUAUCGAACAGG